GACGAACGCUGGCGGCGUGCUUAACACAUGCAAGUCGAACGGAAAGGCCCUGCUUUUGUUGGUGGCUCGAGUGGCGAACGGGUGAGUAACACGUGAGUAACCUGCCCUUGACUUUGGGAUAACUUCAGGAAACUGGGGCUAAUACCGUAUAGGAGCUCCUGCUGCAUGGUGGGGGUUGGAAAGUUUCGGCGGUUGGGGAUGGACUCGCGGCUUAUCAGCUUGUUGGUGGGGUAGUGGCUUAACAAGGCUUUGACGGGUAGCCGGCCUGAGAGGGUGACCGGCCACAUUGGGACUGAGAUACGGCCCAGACUCCUACGGGAGGCAGCAGUGGGGGAUAUUGCACAAUGGGCGGAAGCCUGAUGCAGCAACGCCGCGUGCGGGAUGACGGCCUUCGGGUUGUAAACCGCUUUCGCCUGUGACGAAGCGUGAGUGACGGUAAUGGGUAAAGAAGCACCGGCUAACUACGUG
rnacentral:rRNA from 1 species